rnacentral:lncRNA from 1 species
GUUUAAGAGGCAGCACCUGGUUCACUCUGUCUUUUUCCCUUCGCUAUGAGACUGGCAAGGUUCCAGAUAGCAACUGUUCUAGCAGCCAGGGUCCUGGAGAGAAGUCAACAUGAAGCAGAGCCACAGAUACGCCACAGAUAAGCUUAUGUAAUGAAGAGCUUCUCGCUUGUUGCCCAGGCUGGAGUGCAAUGGUGCGAUCUCAGCUUACUAAAUCUUCCGCCUGACAUGUUCAAGCAAUUCUCCUGCCUCAGCCUCCCAAGUAGCUGGAAUUACAGGUGCCCACCACCAUGUCCAGCUAAUUUUUUUUUUUUUUUUUUUUUUGUAUUUUUAGUAGAGACGGGUUUUCACCAUGUUGGCCAGCCCGGUCUUGAACUCCGUCAGCCUCCCAAAGUGCUAGGAUUAACAGGCGUGAGCCGGCACGCCCGGCCUCCCCGCUGAAUCCUUUCUUCAUUUUAUCAUAAUCCUUCUAAAUACACUUUCGGGAACUUUAAAAGAUGCCUACCACCAUUUGUCUCUCAUGAAGAUGUGAACUGCGACUGGAAACAGCUCAGUCUCUCACAGGGAAAGCACAAUGACACAGAAGGAAAUAUAGAAGUCCCCAAAUUAGGAAUCUUGGAUUUUAGACCCAGUGUUCCCUUAACUGCUUAAAGUGUGACCUCAAGAGGAUGAAAUUUAACCACAUCAAAGAAACCUACAGCUCUGAUACUCUCAGAAAAAAUAAGACUCAACACAAAGAGAGUAAAAAGAGUUAUUCUGUCAACGAAGGGUCUUGACCGAAUAAUGUAUACAUCAGAUCUUUUCAUCUUGCACUUCUUGGACACUGUGAUUCAAAAGGGAGAUUAUUUGUGUCAGUAAAGAAGUAUCCAUAAUGAUAAAACACAAGUACUUCAAAGAACAACCUGUGCUUCUCAAAAGGAAAAUAGUUUGGAUCCAUUUACUUUUCUCCUCUACUUCACAUUCUAAAUGACUGAGAAAAUGUCUUCUCGUUUUCAAUACAACCCAUGGGAAAUCAUACUCAAAUAAGUAGUAACUGAAUGAACUAAUCUGGAAAAGUGGUCCUCAAUUUGUUUCUGUAAUAUCAGCUAUCACAAUACUGCCUUGAUAUUUCAUACAAUUCUGCAGAGUAUAAAAAAGCAAAAGCCUCUAAAAGUUGGUACUAGAAUGUACUACACGCUCAAUAUAGACCACAAAAUGGAUCAGACAUGAAGCUUAGUAUUGUCUGUGUGCACAGUGUUUAAAUAUUCCCUUGUUUUAAAAGUGCCAGUGUUUGUUAAGUAACUUAAAAUAUUUGCCACAUGUAGCUUAUUUUUUUUACUUUUUAUUAUAUUUUUGUCAUAGGUAAAAAAGUGAAAAGAUUUAUGACAGUCAUUUUUUUAAAACUAAGUUAAGCUAUAUAAAUUGUUGUGAAAUAAAAUACAUUUUAAUUAUAUACAAUAAAGAUCCUAAUUUUAAUUUGCAAGUAUUUUCAAGAUUACAAGUAACGUUAUCAAUUGUUUUACUUAUAACAAUAUUCCUAGGGUGUCUACAUUUAAUAAUUCUAAGUUUUUAAAACAAUUUUAAACUAUUUCAUUUAACAGACAAUACAAACUAACUAAGAUAAAUUGAGAAAUAUAAAUAUCCCUCACCUGUGUUUUUAAAAUUAGAGACAACUUUUGUAUCAUUCCAGAUAUAAUUUAUACCUAUAUAAAUGUGUUUAUUUUAAAUGUGCCAUUUAAAAGAACUGGUUUAUGCUUUGAAAUGGCUGCAUAAUAUUCUACUCUACCUAGAUACCAUUAAAUAUUGAAUCAGCUCUCUAUUGUGUGUUUUUUGCUGUUGUUACUGACAGAUUUUGUAAUUACAAUGCAGAUUAAAAACUUGUUUUAAAAAAUGUGAUUUUGCUCAUAGACAUAUGUCUUUAGAAUACAUUCGUCAUAGUACAAUUGCUGAGACAAAGAGUUUACGCAUUUGGAAAUUUUAUAAAUAUUAUCACAUUGCUUUCUAUCAAUAUCAUCUCACAAGUAUAAUGACAAGUGAAAGAUACUAGGUAUGAACAUUUAUGUAGUAUUCAAAAGCAGAUAAGUUUAUUACCCUGUCAGAAGAUAGCAAAAUGAUUAACUUUAUGAAGGUUUCAAGCACUUAGUUUGAGGGAAGGCAGGAUAGGCAGUUUCAUGAGAAAGGUAUGUCCCAUCUCUUGAUCAGGGUGAAGUUUAAAUGGAGUUGUUUCCUUGAUGAUGCAUCAAAGUCACCACUUGAAAUUUGAUUACUUUUUAAUAUAUGCUAUACUUCAAAAUGUUUAUUAACAUGCAAAUCAUAUAAUGAAUUCCAUUAAUUUAGUGAGAGAAAUUUUUUUUAUAUGCUUCGAAGUCAUUUGUUUUGUUGUUUGCGUUUACUCAGAACAGUGUGUCAAUCUCCUUGACUGAUAUUUCUAUUGUUUCUAGCAGGUCAUUUAAUAGUUUAUAAUGUUUAUAUUUUCAAAGUUUAUUGGGGUGUAAUUUAUUUAUAAUACUGUACAUAUUUAAAGUUCAAAAUAAGUUAAGCCUUAACAUGUAUAUACAGCCAUGAACACAUAACCAUAAAGUAGGUCCUAAAUAUAUUCACCACUCACAAAUGUUUCCUUGUGAACCUUUGUCAUUCCACCCGCCCUUACUUCUUCCGCAUAAUCUCCAUCUAUAGCAACUACCAAUCUAUUUUCUGUUAUUAUAAAUUAAUGUGCAUUUUCUGGAAUUUUAUAUAAAUGGAAUCAUAUCAUAUGUACUUUGUUUUGUCUUGUUUUUUCAGUAAAAUUAUUUUGAGAUUCAUACAUGUUGUUACAUGUAUCAAUAGUUCAUUACUUUUUAUUGUUGAGUAGUAUUUCAUCAUAUGGAUAUGCCACAAUGUGUUCACACCUUAACAUAAAUUUGUCAAUGUAGUUUCCAGUCAUUGGUUAUUAAAUAUAAAGUUUCUUGAAAACUGAUCUAUAAGUAUUGAUAUGGAAUGUGAUUUCUUUUCUCUUGGGUAAAUUCCUGGAAGAAAAUUGGUUCUAUCAAAUGGUGUUUGCAUGUUUAACAGUUAUAGCCAAACCAUUUUCCAAAGUGGUUGUAAUAUUUUACAUUCCUCACAGCAGUGUAUGAGAAAUCAAAUUGUUCCAAAAGUUUGCUAAGACUUGUACAUUUAGAUGUAUCACCAAUUUUGGGUAAAUUUUUGUACUAAUUGUGAGUUGCAAUUGAGGUUCACUUUUUUAUAUGGAUACUCCUUUUUUUACACAAUACAUGUUGAAAGCAUCACCUUGUAUUAAUUGAACUGCCUUUGCAUCUUAUUAAAAUCAGUUUCAAUAUAUGUGAGGUUCUAUUUCUGAACUCUAUUCUCUGUUACAUUGAUUUAUGUGAACACUUUUUCACUGAAGCCACACUAUUUUGAGAACUGUAGUCUUGAAAUUGAGUAUUGGUAAUCCUCUAAAUGUGUUUGUUUUUAUAAAAAUUGUUUUGGCUAUUUAGAUCACUUUGCCAUUCAAAUAAAAUUUAAAAUCUGCUUGUUGAUAGCUACAGAAAAGUUACUGGCAUUUUAACUAGGAAUACAUUAAACUUAUAGAUAAGAUUGAGGAGAAUUGCCAUUUUAUUCUUCCAAUUAAUGGCUAUAUUACAUG